CAAAGCUGACACAGAAAAAAUAUAACAGAAAGUAACUGUUUUCCCUUCAUCUCAUUAACUGGAAUGCAGAGAAGUAUUCAAAUGUAGCCGAGGCUUUCUAUAAGUUGGAUGACUUGGCAAUUCUCACUGUUUUCUGAAGCUUGAUCCGUGCAGUGAAAACCUGACGGUUGUCUUGAAGGCCUUAGAUUCAGAAAAGACUGAAGUAAACAUCAUCACAGCCUGAUCAUAAUAUGCUGAAUAGUUAAAAUCCAUGCUGUUUCUCUUC